AUGUACAUUCCUACAACAUAGCGUUAAUCCAUCAGACCCCAUUAGAACUCUGUAGUUAAGCAUUCUUAGGCUAGAUUAGUACUGGGAUGGGUGACCACCUGGGAAGUCCUACUAUUUUACAUG
rfam:Picea glauca, whole genome shotgun sequence.